CCCGAGAUGGAGUCUUCCUCUAUCACCCAUGGUGGAGUGCAAUGGCGUGAUCUCAACUCACUGCAACCUCUGCCUUCUGGGUUCAAGCAAUUCUCCUGCCUCAGCCUCCCAAGCAGCUGGGAUUACAGGUGCCUGGCACCAAGUCCCGCUCAUUUUGUAUUUUUAGUAGAAAGUGUUUCACCAAGGCUGGGUGCGGUGACUCAUGCCAGUAAUCCCAGCACUUUGGGAGGCAGAGGCGGGCGGAUCACAAGGUCAGAUCAAGAACAUCCUGGCUAACACGGUGAAACCCUGUCUCUACUAAAAAUUCAAAAAAAAAAAAAAAAAAAUUAGCUGGGCGUGGUGGCAGGCGCCUGUAGUCCCAGGUAAUCGGGUGGCUGAGGCAGGAGAAUGGCGUGAACCUGGGAGGUGGAGCUUACAGUGAGCCGAGAUCGUGCCACUGCACUCCAGCCUGGGGGACAGAGUGAGACUCCGUCUCAAAACAAAACAAAACAAAACAAAAAAGCGUUUCAUCAUGUUGGUCAGGCUGGUGUCGAACUCCUGACCUCAGGUGAUCCACCUGCCUCAGCCUCCCAAAGUGCUGGGAUUACAAGUGUGAACCACUGCGCCUGUCAUAUAUUUGUAUUUUUUGUAGACAGAGUUUUGCCGUGUGGCCCAGGCUUAGAUCUUUUAUAUUGAUAAUGUAUCCAUGUGUAGCAAGUUGAUACAGUGAAUGCUUAAACUUGGGUCAUAUACAGAGUGAUAACACUUUCCAAUUUGCCUGCAACAGUUCAGGUGUCUGUUUAGAUAUUUCAGGUUGCUUCUUUCAGUCCCAAACAUGUCCUAGUUUGGAUAAUAAAUUAUGUCUUAGUUUGGACAGUAAGUGAUGGUAUAUAUAAUAAAGUCAUGCUUUGCUUAAGGAUGGGGAUAUGUUUCGAGAAAUGCAUGAUUUGGCAAUUUCAUCAUCUUGCAUGCACCAUAGAGUGUACUUAUACAAAUCCAGCUGUUACAGCCUAUUACUCCUAGGCUGCAAACCCUGUAUAGCAUGUUACUGUACUGAAUACUGUAGGCAGCUAUAACACAAUGAGAAGUAUUUCUGUAUCUAAACACAGAAAUCGUACAGUAAAUGUGUGGUAUAACCUUAUGGGACCAAGGACCACCAUCAUAUAGGUGGUCUGUCAUUGACUGAAACGUUAUGUGGCAUAUGACUGUAUUUUAUGUAUAUAUUAUAUAUAUGCACAUACAUAUAUAUAAAAAUUACUCGGAUAAGUUAUAUAUAUUAUCCUAAUUAUAAGGAUUUAUGACUGUGUAAAAGUUGCUUAUCAACACUAUGAUGCUAGGUAAAACAAGGACUUGAAAGGAAAAUUUCUGUAACCUUUUUUCCAGCUGUAUAAAGGCAUUAAUUUACUUCUGCCUAUCUCAUUGGGUGGUCAGGAGAAUCAAACUGAUAUGUGAAAGGGUGUGAAAACAUACAUGAUACACUGAGAAAAAGGAUUGUUACCUUAAAAGAUCCUGUUUUCUGGAAGAGUUCACAUUUGAAGAAAAGAUUGCGCCCUGUUAGUUGAUUCAAAAUGGAGCUUGUUAGCACUGGUGUGAGGUGGAUAGAAUCUCGAAUGUUGAUAUGAGCUUUUUCAACAUCAGCAAAGGAGAUGCAAUACUGAGCACACAUGGUUCUGAAACCCAGGAAUAAGAAAGGGGUCAAAGCAAAGUCUGAGACAGUAUGUUUAUUGAAGAGAUUUUGAAAAUACGUAACAGAAUAGACCUGGGGCCUGUGGUGUCAUGUGGAAAUUCUCCAUUAUUGGAGUGUCAGAAUUUCCCUAAAAGAGAGUUGACUUAAAAGCUGAACGAAGUUUUUCUGGUGAAGCUUUGAGGGAAGUAACUGAUGGUGAUUACAGAAGGCUAAAGCCCACUCCCCACCCACACCACCCAUCUCUUGGCACUGUUGGCACUGCCACUGGUCUCCAUCUUCCUUUUUUUUUUUUUUUUUUUGAGACGGAGUCUCGCUCUGUAGCCCAGGCUGGAGUGCAGUGGCACAAUCUCGGCUCACUGCAACCUCCGCCUCCCGGGUCAAGCAAUUCUCCUGCCUCAGCCUCCCGAGUAGCUGGGAUUACAGGAAUGUGCCAUCGUGCCCAGCUAAUUUUUAUAUUUUUAGUAGACACGGGGUUUCACCAUGUUGUCCAGGCUGGUCUUGAACUUCUGACCUCGUGAUCCGCCUGCCUCGGCCUCCCAAAGUGCUGGGAUUACAGGUGUAAGCCACCGUGCCCAGCUCCACCUUUCUUUUAAUCAUCGUUGUGAAGCUACUUGAAUGAAUUGGAUUCAAUUUUUAUAUUAUUUUUAAUUUAUAAAUUUAAAUUUUUAAUUUUUAAUAAAAAUUUAACAAAUUAUUUGAUAAAGAAAAAAUAGCUAGACUAUUCCAUUUAAAUAACUAUGUUCAUUUUCUUUAUUUCCCUCUGCAUUUUCUUUUUUUUUGUUUUUUGAGAUGGUGUUUCACUCCUGUUGUCCCGGCUGGAGUGCACUGGUGCAGUCCUGGCUCACCACAACCUCCACAUCCCAGGUUCAAGCGAUUCUCCUGCUUCAGCCUCCCGAGUAGCUGAGAUUACAGGCAUGCACCACCAUGCCCAGCUAAUUUUUUUUUUUUUUUUUUUUUGAGACAGAGUCUCGCUCUGUCACCCAGGCUGGAGUGCAGUGGCGCGAUCUCGGCUCACUGCAAGCUCCGCCUCCCGGGUUCACGCCAUUCUCCUGCCUCAGCCUCCCUGGUAGCUGGGACUACAGGCACCUGCCACCAUGCCUGGCUAAUUUUUUGUAUUUUUAGUAAAGACGGGGUUUCACCGUGUUAGCCAGGAUAGUCUCAAUCUCCUGACCUCGUGAUCCGCCUGCCUCGGCCUCCCAAAGUGCUGGGAUUACAGGCGUGAGCCACCAAACCCGGCCAAUUUUGUAUUUUUAAUAGAGACGGGGUUUCUCCAUGUUGUGCAGGCUGGUCUCGAACUCCCGACCUCAGGUGAUCCGCCUGCCUCAGACUCCCAAAGUGCUGGGAUUAUAGGCGUGAGUCACUGCGCCCGGCUCCUUCUGCAUUCUCAAUAUACAUUAUGUAACAGUUAAAGCAAACAUUUUAUUUGCUCCUACAUUUGACUCAGUUUCUUUACAAUUUUCAUAAUUUUCAAUAACUACAUUAAGCUUCCACUUUCCACUGUGUCUAUUGUAGCAGUUAAAUAUGAAGUUUCUCUAUUUUUCCUUAUUACAAAAGAAUCUAUAUUCAUUAGAAAACUGAGUUAAUCUGAAAAUACAGAGAUACAAAAAGAACAUGAAAAUAGCCACGAAACCUUCCUACCUAAAGACAGUUGCUAUCCAGUGGUUUACCUUUCCAGGCCCAACUACAUAUGCAGACAAAACUCUUUGGUAGGUUUGGUAACUUCUUUUUUUGUCAGACAGUAUUAUGAAUAUCAAUGAAUCUCAUAGGUGAGUACAUUUAUCAACAUUUUUUUUUUGUUGUUUUUUUGAGAUGGAGUUUCACUGUCACCCAGACUGAAGUGCAGUGGCAUGACUGUGGCUCACUGCAACCUCUGCCUCCUGGGUUCAAGCAAUUCUCCUGCCUCAACCUCCUGAGUUGCUGGCAUUACAGGCGCCCACCACCACACCCAGCUAAUUUUUAUAUUUUUCGUAGAGGCGGGGUUUCACCAUGUUGGCCAGGCUGGUCUUGAACUCCUGAUCUUAGGUGAUCCGCCCGCCUCGGCCUCCCAAAGUGCUGGUAUUACAGGCGUGAGCCACCACGCCCGGCCCAUUUAUCCAACUUUUUUUUUUUUUUUGAGAGAGUCUUGCUCUGCCGCCAGGCUGGAGUGCGGUGGCGCCAUCUCAGCUCACUGCAACCUCUGCCUCCCAGGUUCAAGCGAUUCUCCUGCCCUAGCCUCCCUAGUAGCUGGGAUUACAGGCGCCUGCCACCACACCCAGCUAAUUUUUUUAUUUUUAGUGGAGACAGGGUUUCACCAUGUUGGCCAGGCUAGUCUCGAACUCCUGACUUCAGGCAAUCCACCUGGCUCAGCCUCCCAAAGUGCUGGGAUUACAGGCGUGAGCCACUGCGCCCGGCUUUAUCCAACUUUUAAAAUGACUUAAUAGUACUUCUUUUACAAAAAUACAAUAAUUUAGCUGGGGGCAGUGACACACACUGGUAGUCCCGGCUACUUGGGAGGCUAAGGCGGGAGGCUUGCUUGAGCCCGGGAGUGUGUUAUUAUCACGUCUAUGAAUAGCCACUGUACUGUGGCCUGGGCAACAUAAGCAGGACCCUAUCUCUUGAAAAAGAAAAAAUAAUAAUUUUAAGUUUACAUAGCUCAAAUGAACAUUUGGAUUUCCUUUUGUUGUUGUUGGCUGUAAGAAUGAUGUAAUGAAUAGCCUUGUUGCAAGAUUUUUGUGUACCUCCGUCAGUCCUUAGGGUAGAUUUCACCAAAUGGUAUUUUGUAUCAAAAGGCAUACAUAUUUCUAAGAAAUCUGAUACCCACUGCCAAACUGAUCUCCAGAAGGGUCCUAUAUUACAUCAAUUUGUACUCCCAACAACAGUUUUGAUGGAAUGAUGCCUCUUUUCCUUCAUCCGUCCUAUAUCAUUUUUAUGUCAAUUUAGUUAUGUCUAGUAGUUGUUGUUUCUUUGAGACGGAGUCUUGCUCUGUUGCCCAGGCUGGAGUGCAGUGGUGGGAUCUUGGCUCACUGCAACCUCCACCUCCCAGGUUCAAGUGAUUCUCCUGCCUCAGCCUCCCGAGUAGCUGGGACUACCGGUGUGUGCCACCACGCCAGGCUAAUUUUUUGUAUUUUUAGUAGAGACAGGGUUUCACUGUGUUAGCCAGGAUGGUCUCGAUCUCCUGACUUCGUGAUCCACCUGCCUCAGACUCCCAAAGUGCUGAGAUUACAGGUGUGAGCCACUGUGCCUGGCAAUGUCUAGUAGUUUUAAUUUACAUUAAUUACUAGUGAUUGAACAUUUUUUUGUGUAUCUUGGCCACUUGUUCUUUUCUCAGUCUUUUUUUUUUUUUUUUAGAUAAGGUCUCACUCUGUUGUCCAGGCUGGUGUACAGUGGCUCAAUUAUGGCUCCCUGCAGCUUCAAACUCUUGAGCUCAAGUGAUCUUCCCGCCUCAGCCUCCCAAGUACCUGGGACUAUGACUGUGCACCACCAUACCCAGCUAAUUUUUUAAAUUUUUAUUUUAGUAGAGAGGAAGUCUUGCUGUGUUGCCCAGGCUGGUCUCAAACCCCUGAGCUCAAGUGAUCCUUCCGCCUUGGCCUUCCAAAGUGCUGGGAUUACAGGCAUGAGGCACCACACCCAGCCUUCUUAACACACCAUUUACUGACAGAAUCCUUUUCCUCUGAAAUGCUCUAUUUAUCAAAAAUUAAAUUUCUAUGAAUGGUUGGGGCUAUUGUAUUUUGUUCCAUUGGCCAGACUGCCAAUGUCUUUUCCUAUUAUAUACUGUAUUAAUAAAUUCUCCCUUGAUUGCUCUA
rnacentral:lncRNA from 1 species